ACUCAAUAGAUACCCGGGUAGUCCACGCCCUAAACGAUGUCUACUAGUUGUCGGGUCUUAAUUGACUUGGUAAACGCAGCUAAACGCGUGAAGUAGACCGCCUGGGGAGUACGGUCGCAAGAUUAAAACUCAAAGGAAUUGACGGGGACCCGCACAAGCGGUGGAUGAUGUGGAUUAAUUCGAUGCAACGCGAAAAACCUUACCUACCCUUGACAUGGAUGGAAUCCUUGAGAGAUUGAGGAGUGCCCGAAAGGGAACCAUUACACAGGUGCUGCAUGGCUGUCGUCAGCUCGUGUCGUGAGAUGUUGGGUUGAGUCCCGCAACGAGCGCAACCCUUGUCAUUAGUUGCUACGAAAGGGCACUCUAAUGAGACUGCCGGUGACAACCGGAGGAAGGUGGGGAUGACGUCAAGUCCUCAUGGCCCUUAUGGGUAGGGCUUCACACGUCAUACAAUGGUACAUACAGAGGGCCGCAACCCGCGAGGGGUAGCUAAUCCCAGAAAGUGUAUCGUAGUCCGGAUUGUAGUCUGCAACUCGACU
rnacentral:rRNA from 1 species